GGAAUAUUGGACAAUGGGCGCAAGCCUGAUCCAGCAAUACCGCGUGUGUGAAGAAGGCCCUAGGGUUGUAAAGCACUUUCAAUGGGGAGGAAAACCUGCCGGCCAAUACCCGGUAGCUUGACAUUACCUAUAGAAGAAGCACCGGCUAACUCCGUGCCAGCAGCCGCGGUAAUACGGAGGGUGCGAGCGUUAAUCGGAAUUACUGGGCGUAAAGCGUGCGUAGGCGGCUCGUUAAGUCAGAUGUGAAAGCCCUGGGCUCAACCUGGGAACUGCAUUUGAAACUGGCGAGCUAGAGUUGAGUAGAGGGGAGUGGAAUUUCAGGUGUAGCGGUGAAAUGCGUAGAUAUCUGAAGGAACACCAGUGGCGAAGGCGACUCCCUGGACUCAAACUGACGCUGAGGUACGAAAGCGUGGGUAGCAAACAGGAUUAGA
rnacentral:rRNA from 1 species